GAAGCAGGCUCCAGGCUCUGAGCUGUCAGCACAGAGCCCGACGUGGGGCUUUGAACCCACAAACCGUGAGAUCGUGACCUGAGCCGAAGUUGGACGCUUAACUGACUGAGCCACCGAGGCGCCCCUGAAGUACACAGUUGAAUACAAUGGGAAUUUUCGUAAUUUAUCAACUGUUGUGAUGCCUGAAGUAUUUUAUGGUUCGUAUUUAUAAGCUCAAUUCAUUUCAACAACAAUCACUUAAGAACUUGAGGUUUGGUUUGUUAGUUGAGGUUUUUUAGAGGGACGUCAAAUAUGUGAAACUUUCAGGUGCAGUUCUGAAGGAGUUGAGGUCCAGACCGUAAUAAAUAGAAGAAAGCACCAAGUCCCCUUCAAAGUGAUUUUUAAAACCCGCUGUAGUCACGAACACCAGACAAGACGUGCGAAACGAAUGGACCUUGAGAGUUUCGGGCUGGUUGCAUUAGGAGGUUGAUGUUAAUUUAAAUACAAAUUUUUUUAGUGUUUAUUUAUUUUAGAGACAGAAAGACGGAGCAUAAGCAGGGGAGGGGCAGGGAGAGCCAGAGACAGAAUCUGAAACAGGCUCCAGGCUCUGAGCUGUCAGCACAGAGCCCAACGUGGGGCUUGAACCCACAAACCGUGAGAUCAUGGCCUGAGCUGAAGUCAGACACUUAACCGACUAAGCCACCCAGGUGCCUGUAAGUUUUAAAGCCCAGGGUAGCCUGCUGAGUCACAGUAUUUCACACAGCAGCUGGAUUCCUGCUGACAUGUAAUGGGAAUUAGGGUUCCCGAGGUCAUUUAGAGCCAGACUCUUGACUCUUUAGCAGAAAACUGCUUGCCAUGCCCCAGAGUUUUCUUUUUAUUUUUGGUUUGCUUUGUUUGUGGCAGUGAAGAGAUACUGAAGAGUUUGGAGCCGGAGACUGAUGGGCAGGAAGUAUAAUUUUAGGAAGAUAUAUUGGAUAAGAAAUAAAAGGCGAGGGCACGAGAUGGUUUCUCCUGGCUACUACAUUUCUCUGGCUAAUACAUCUCCAAGAUAACUGACUCCAUGCUCCUACAAGGAACAAAACCCCCAGAGCAAGGCCUCUUACAGAGAUGCGUCCAUGCUGCAGCUGUGGGGCAAGGGCCCAACGUGGGGGCCAUGGAAUGAAAACCAAAGCCCACAUACAGCAGAGCUGACCUGAGGUCACGGGUAUGGACAAUCACUGACUUCCUUCUGCUUUGGCAAUCGUGGUUAAUUCAGAAGGUAGAGUCACAGAGGACACACAGGAUGAACCUUCACAGAACGGAGGUGCUCACAGCCUCCCCAGAAGGAGAGCAAAACAGACGUGUUGGGAUCAUGUCCAAAUCAACUAGGUUUAGUCCAAGCUCUAGCAGGCCUGAGGGUCUUUGCUUUGCUGCACAGUAGCUGUGUGGCCUUAGCCACUUGGAGCUGGGGGAGCCUUGGUCUCCCCGCCCCCGCCUGCACUUUAAAUU